CCGGAUUUUCAAUGACAAGCUUAAAGGGCUCGUUGAUCAAUUCAACAACGCCAAUUCCGAUGCCAAAUUCAUCUACAUCAAUGCUUAUGGAAUUUUCCAAGACAUAACAAGCAACCCCGCCACAUACGGUAAACCCCGACGAGUACCUGUAAAAACCGAUUAGGCCUCGAUGUCAUAAUGUUACUAAUGGUUUUUGAUUUUUUUUGCUUUCUAUCUUUUUAAAAUGGCAGGUUUUAAGGUAACAAAUGCAGGGUGUUGUGGAGUGGGGAGGAACAAUGGACAAAUUACCUGCUUGCCUGCCCAAACUCCAUGCCCAAAUAGGAAAGAGUACUUGUUUUGGGAUGCUUUUCAUCCCACUGAAGCUGCAAAUGUGAUCAUCGGGAGGAGAUCUUACAGUGCUCAGUCUUCAGCAGAUGCUUACCCGAUCGAUAUCCGCC
rnacentral:lncRNA from 1 species